rnacentral:rRNA from 1 species
AUAGCGUAUAUUAAAGUUGUUGCAGUUAAAAAGCUCGUAGUUGAAUUUCAGGAUUGGGAUAUAUCGGUCAUGCCUUUAGGGGCAUGAAUUGGUGUGUAGCCAAUUUCUCACCUUCUGGUGAAUUGGGAUGCUCUUGGGUGUUUCAAUGAACUAGGACUUUUACUUUGAAAAAAUUAUAGUGUUUAAAGCGGGCAUUUUUGCUUGAAUAUAUUAGCAUGGAAUAAUAAAAUAGGACGAUGGUUCUAUUUUGUUGGUUUUAGGACCACGUAAUGAUUAAUAGGGAUAGUUGGGGGCAUUAGUAUUCAAUAGUCAGAGGUGAAAUUCUUGGAUUUAUUGAGGACUAACUACUG